GAUUGAUAAUUGCUAUAAAUUGAAGAGGCUUCCCAGUGCAAUUAGGCUCAUCAAAACUCUGAAACAAUUAACUAUGGAGGGAAUGCCAAAGGCCUUCAAAGAUAAACUAGUUGAAGGAGGAGAGGAUUUCUACAUCAUCCAACACGUGCCAUCUAUUGUAUCUGAGUUCUAAUGAUGAGGAUGGAUAAUCAUCAGGAGAUGGAAGUGUUUGAUGUGACGUUUUGUUGCUUCUCAAGUAAAUAAAUGAUGUCAAGGGACUCACUGCAUUUGUUCAUUUGCGCAUGACACAUCAAUGAGGGUACAGCAAAAUGUAAAUUUCCUGCGCAUGUCAUUCUCCAAAAUGUGGACUACCCGUGGCUGUUUUGUCUCUUAAAGCAUCUAUAUUUUCAUAUGCGCUGAAUUAGUCAAGAACUUAUCCUUAUAUUUAAUUUGGCCCUCUAAGGCGAUCUUCACUCCUUGUAUAUGCAGAUGCCUACUAAUCAGUCAUCGUGGAAAAAGACUGUCGGCAUCCUAUGUCAACAAGAUUAGUCUCAGGAAUCCGUUUCUUUUCUUGUGUGGUUCAUUCUGUCUUUGUCUGCAUUCCUCAAGUGGCUUUUUCUUGCUUGCAAGAUUUCAUUGGGUUUCUAAUGCUGUUUCUCAUACUUAAUUAUGGGAAAUCUCUCUUCAGGUGUUGAAUACUAUUUGUUGUAAUUUUUUAGAUUUGUGUAGUUGUGGGAAUAGUGAAUCCCUGUUUGUUUUGUGUAAUAAU